UACGGAGGAUGCGAGCGUUAUCCGGAUUUAUUGGGUUUAAAGGGUGCGUAAGCGGACGCUUAAGUCAGCGGUAAAAUUGCGGGGCUCAACCUCGUCGAGCCGUUGAAACUGGGUGUCUUGAGUGGGCGAGAAGUACGCGGAAUGCGUGGUGUAGCGGUGAAAUGCAUAGAUAUCACGCAGAACUCCGAUUGCGAAGGCAGCGUACCGGCGCCCAACUGACGCUGAAGCACGAAGGCGUGGGUAUCGAACAGG
rnacentral:rRNA from 1 species